rnacentral:rRNA from 1 species
CACGGAGUUAGCCGAUGCUUAUUCAUACGGUACAUGCAGGGAGUCACACGUGACUCUUGUUAUUCCCGUAUAAAAGAAGUUUACAAUCCAUAAGACAGUCAUCCUUCACGCGACUUGGCUGGUUCAGGCUCUCGCCCAUUGACCAAUAUUCCUCACUGCCGCCUCCCGUAGGAGUCUGGUCCGUGUCUCAGUACCAGUGUGGGGGUUCAACCUCUCAGUUCCCCUACCCAUCGUCGCCUUGGUGAGCCGUUACCUCACCAACUAGCUAAUGGGACGCAUGCCUAUCUCACAGCGAAUUUCAUUUCCUCUACAUUGGAUGCCCAACAUAGAGUGUACGCGGUAUUAGUCCGUCUUUCGACGGGUUAUCCCCCUCUGUGAGGCAAGUUGCAUACGCGUUACGCACCCGUGCGCCGUCGCCAUCAGUCUUAGCAAGCUAAGACCAUGCUGCCCCUCGACUUGCAUGUGUUAAGCCUAUCGCUAGCGUUCA